CCUACGGGGGACAGCAGUGGGGGAUAUUGCACAAUGGGGGGAACCCUGAUGCAGCGACGCCGCGUGGGUGAAGAAGCGCCUCGGCGCGUAAAGCCCUGUCAGCAGGGAAGAAAAUGACGGUACCUGAAGCAGAAGCCCCGGCUAACUACGGGCCAGCAGCCGCGGUAAUACGGAGGGGGCAAGCGUUAUCCGGAUUUACUGGGUGUAAAGGGGGAGCAGACGGCGAUGCAAGCCAGGAGUGAAAGCCCGGGGCUCAACCGCGGGACUGCUCUUGAAACUGCGUGGCUGGAGUGCAGGAAGGGCAGGCGGAAUUCCUGGUGUAGCGGUGAAAUGCGUAGAUAUCAGGAGGAACACCGGUGGCGAAGGCGGCCUGCUGGACUGCAACUGACGUUGAGGCCCGAAAGCGUGGGGAGCAAACAGGAUUAGAUACCCCUGUAGUC
rnacentral:rRNA from 1 species